rnacentral:rRNA from 1 species
UACGAAGGGUGCAAGCGUUACUCGGAAUUACUGGGCGUAAGCGUGCGUAGGCGGCCACUCAAGUCGAAUGUGAAACCUCGAGGCUUAACCUCGAGCCUGCAUUCGAUACUGGGCGGCUAGAGUCUGGUAGGGGGACCUGGAAUUCCUGGUGUAGCGGUGGAAUGCGCAGAUAUCAGGAGGAACACCGGUGGCGAAGGCGGGGUCCUGGGCCUUACCUGACGCUGAGGAGCGAAAGCGUGGGGAGCGAACAGG